AGUCAUGCAUAUAUUUCACAACCAAAUCCCAGACCCACUUCCCAGCCCUAGCUCCAUGUUUGGACUUUGCCUUUGGAAAGAGAGGGCUUUGUCCCUGCCAGAGGACCCAAUCCACCUGGGUAUCUGGAAAAGCUUCUCCAGAUCCACUUCCAAGAGCAAGGCUCCCUCGGAAAUGGUGUAAAUCAGGAGCGUGACUCUAUUGAACGAGGAGCAGAAGAGCCAGGAGCAGAGCCUGCAGCAUCACUGCUCUUGCUCUCAGCGUAUGUUCCCGAGAAGAGCUCCAUGCCGGAGGAAGCACAAGGAGGCUGAUGGAGCGGAGGGCCUCCCAGUUUGUGCAGGUGUGUGUCACCUCGUCCAGGCAUGUCACGACAAAGACCCCAGAGCAAGGAAACCGCAGCAGCCAGGCAAGACUUGCGAACCGUCGCUGCUCUGCUCUGAGCUACCCGGGUUGGCCGACUUCUUAAGGAGUGCGCCCACACACUGGGAGACAUUGCUGUUUGUUGAAUAAACCCAGAGAGCGGCGAUGUGUAGACAUGAUUUAAGAGCCAUUUCUUCUUCUUUCAGCAUGGAAUCCAGCAAGUAUAACCCCUGGGCGGUGGGACAUUGAAGGAUAUGGCACAGGAGGGGGAAGUAAAGGCAGAUAUUUCUAGUGAUUGUUCUGUGCUUUUCCUCUGUGCGCUUCCAGAAAGGGCUUCAACAUGAAAAAGGAUGUCAAGACAGGAAGGAUAUUGAGUUGGCUUCGGCUCUGUCAUACAAAUAGCUUAAGUGACCUUUCUCUAGCAAAACACCAACUAUCGUAGUAUGGAUUUGUUCUAAAGGGUUGUCAGCUCUGGAAGAGUGCAGCUAUUUCACAAGCAGGACAUCCAUAGAUAGAUAGAUAGACAGAGAAAUAGACAGAUAGUGUGGGGUAGAGACAGAAAUAGAGACAGACAAAUGCAGCCUUCACAAAACCUUAUUUUAACUGCCCUCAUUUAUAACAUAGGUUUUGUUGGUUUUGAUGCCUUUGGAAGGGGACUUCAUGUAUCUUCACACCGUUCCUGAGUGUGGCAGUAUUUGCACAGUGUUAAUGUCUCAGGCCUGAUCCUGUACUCCUUCCCUUCAUGCAUAGCUCCCACACGGAUGGGGAAACUGAGGCAUGUAGCAGCAAAGUAACUUCUAGAGGUCCCAUGACGUGGAAGGAAAGCCAGGCAUGGCAUCCUCCAUCCUCUCUUCUAACCGUUGCCCCUCGCUGUGUUGCCCGUUACGAUCCCUGUCACACCUUUAAGAAGAUGUCACCUCCUUUAAAGGAUGGUGAACACCCACCUUUGGGAGUCUGUGUGCAUGCCUGAGUCAUGCAGAUAGAGCCAAGAGUCGCGAGGUGGGAGCUGGGCACUUUCCCAGAAAAGCUGGGCUGAAACCACAGAAGCCAUUUCCUUGCAGACUCGAGCCAUUAUCCCCCCCCCCCCCCCCCCCCCCCCCAAAACGACUGCUUUGCACAUGCUGAGCCCUCCUGAGGUUGAGAUUUGCUCCCACAUGUCCUCACCGCAGAGCUGCCGCUUGUCCAUCCUCUGGGCUGCUCCCAGAAGGGUGUCCUGGCAUGAGGACAGCCAUGGGGCCAUCGCUGCCUCAUUGCUCGUCCCACUCCUUCUGCAGCUUCCUUGGAUUAACGACCCCUCUCUGCAUUGCUGCCCUAAGCUUCCUGGUCAGUUUUAAAGCAAACCAGACACCAGCCACUAAGAAAAAUCACUAUGCCGCUUUUGGAGAGGUGUAGACUUUUCCUGUGGGCUGCAACCCCUCUGGCUUCGAGGCAAAAAAUCCAUGGCUCCAGGCUCUUCCCACCGAAGAACAGGCACCCUUGGCUCCAAGUGCAAAUUUUAGGAUGUUAUGCUCUCUUCUGGACUGCAUUAGUCCCCAGAACAUUGCAAGAUGAGUAGAAAAAUGGUCUUGGGAGAAGAUGGCUUGAGGUUGCGAUUGAGGGAGGUUGUAUUUCCUUGUAGCUGAGGCUGCAGAGGUGCAAAUUUUAACUUAGGCAAUUAAUUCACCCAUUCCUUAUGUCCAGGAGAGGUGAACCAAAGGGAAAAAACCCCACUCUAACUCUUGGGACACCAUUACAUUGCAUUACUUUUCCUAGGUGGGACUUUAUCUACAGGCUCAACCAGACAGCAGGAAAAAUCAACCCAAGAAAUAGUUACAUUACUCUGAGCUUGGCUACUGAUAGGUAGCAAAGAUUGUCAGAAACAUUCUGAAAAUGCCAAAAUUUAGGGAAUAUUUCCCAGCUGCAUCUCCCUAGCCCAGCCCUGCUCUCAAUGAGGGAUCCUCUUUGUUCACAGGCCGACUGACAGCAGUUGUGUGCGCUCUAUAAACGUCGAAUGGAAGAGAUACUUUUAAUGUAAUUAUAAUUUAAGCAUAAAAUAUGUCACUUCUGUAGGAUUUUGUUGUCUGGUGCGUAAUUACUUUAUGGCACUAUAAAAAUAUAUUACAUUAUGAUGCCUUGCUAUGCUUUGCUCAAAUAAUUUAUAACACGGUAAUAGUGUGGAACAAUAUUCAAGACCAUUGUAUCCAAUCUAGCAUAUAAAUAAAAAUUGUGGAAAAUAA